AUUUGAAGAUGUUGGAGGGUGUCCAGAGGAGGGCCAUGAAGAUGAUUGGAGAGCUGGAGCACCUCUAUUAUGAACAAGGGCUGAGCUCAUCCAAGAGGGAAGGGGCUGAAGAAAUGUGAGAUCCAAUGUGGAGACAAUCAGCAGAAGUAAAAUUAAGGACAUCAAGUUUGUCAGUCAACAGUGAACCAAGAGGUCUCUCAGCCAUAUUCCAGAUGGCCUGCUAUUUUGCUGUACUUCAGUCACAUAUCAACAUACAGCAGCAAACUCCGAAAAUGACAUAAUGAAAUACAAGCAGCUUGUUCUACCAGUAUCAACCUUCAUAUCCAGUAGCUGUGACAAAGAAAGAAAUUAAACCUCAUCAAGAUGAAGUAGUGCCUCAUGUGAGGGUUGAGCAGAAAGACAAAAAACGUGAAACAACUUCAGAAUAACAUUGCACACCUCAAAAGAAGACAAGUCUGGAAAGUAAACCUCUGUUGUCUUACCUAAAAUGAAGAAAGCAAGCUAGCUUAAAAUUACUCAUGCUAACCUAAGACAAACAGAAGACGAUGGAGACGGAGAAGACCACAGAGGUGAGGUAAGGCAUUUGUGAACAAGCACAACUGUUUCUUCUAGUGGACAAAGGGAAGGCGACCAAUGUCGUUUACCUGGACUUGA